ACGCACGCUGGCGGCGUGCUCAACACAUGCAAGUCGAACGGAAAGGCCCUGCUUGCAGGGUGCUCGAGUGGCGAACGGGUGAGUAACACGUGGGUGAUCUGCCCCUUACUUUGGGAUAAGCCUGGGAAACUGGGUCUAAUACUGGAUAGGACCAUGCUGUAGGUGGUGUGGUGGAAAGAUUAGUUUCGGUAAGGGAUGAGCUCGCGGCCUAUCAGCUUGUUGGUGGGGUAAUGGCCUACCAAGGCGUCGACGGGUAGCCGGCCUGAGAGGGUGGACGGCCACAUUGGGACUGAGAUACGGCCCAGACUCCUACGGGAGGCAGCAGUGGGGAAUAUUGCACAAUGGGCGCAAGCCUGAUGCAGCGACGCCGCGUGGGGGAUGACGGCCUUCGGGUUGUAAACUCCUUUCAGCCAUGACGAAGCCCUUGUGGUGACGGUAGUGGUAGAAGAAGCACCGGCUAACUACGUG
rnacentral:rRNA from 1 species